AGUGAACGCUGGCGGCAGGCCUAACACAUGCAAGUCGAGCGGCAGCGCGGGGGCAACCCUGGCGGCGAGCGGCGGACGGGUGAGGAAUUCGUCGGAAUCUGCCUUUUUGUGGGGGAUAACGUAGGGAAACUUACGCUAAUACCGCAUACGUCCUACGGGCGAAAGUGGGGGACCGCAAGGCCUCACGCAGAAAGAUGAGCCGACGACCGAUUCGCUAGUUGGUGGGGUAAAGGCCCACAAAGGCGACGAUCGGUAGCUGGUCUGAGAGGAUGAUCAGCCACACUGGGACUGAGACACGGCCCAGACUCCUACGGUAGGCAGCAGUGGGGAAUAUUGGACAAUGGGCGCAAGCCUGAUCCAGCCAUGCCGCGUGUGUGAAGAAGGCCUUCGGGUUGUAAAGCACUUUUGUCCGGAAAGAAAUCCCUGGAGCUAAUACGUUCGGGGGAUGACGGUACCGGAAGAAUAAGCACCGGCUAACUUCGUG
rnacentral:rRNA from 1 species